rnacentral:rRNA from 1 species
UACGGAGGAUGCGAGCGUUAUCCGGAUUUAUUGGGUUUAAAGGGAGCGCAGACGGGAGAUUAAGUCAGUUGUGAAAGUUUGCGGCUCAACCGUAAAAUUGCAGUUGAUACUGGUUUCCUUGAGUGCAGUUGAGGCAGGCGGAAUUCGUGGUGUAGCGGUGAAAUGCUUAGAUAUCACGAAGAACCCCGAUUGCGAAGGCAGCUUGCUAAACUGUAACUGACGUUCAUGCUCGAAAGUGUGGGUAUCCAACAGG